rnacentral:pre_miRNA from 1 species
AGUGGGAUAGUUGGGUCAAAUGGUAGUUUCAUUUCCAAUUUUUAGAGGAAUCUACAUACUGCUCUCCAUAAUGGUCGCACCAAUUUGCCGUCUCACCAGCUAU